rnacentral:rRNA from 1 species
UACGUAUGGUGCAAGCGUUAUCCGGAUUUACUGGGUGUAAAGGGAGCGCAGGCGGUACGGCAAGUCUGAUGUGAAAGCCCGGGGCUCAACCCCGGUACUGCAUUGGAAACUGUCGGACUAGAGUGUCGGAGGGGUAAGUGGAAUUCCUAGUGUAGCGGUGAAAUGCGUAGAUAUUAGGAGGAACACCUGUGGCGAAGGCGGCUUACUGGACGAUUACUGACGCUGAGGCUCGAAAGCGUGGGGAGCAAACAGG